GGGAGGGAGGGAGGGAGGAAGGGAAGGCUGCAGGGAGCUGUGCUGCUGCCUCGGCUCAGGUGCAGGCAGAAUAGAAACUGCCCACAGCGCUGCCGCCCGCUUCCUGCCUCUGCUGCACAAGCAACAUGCAUGUCCAAGCCCUGUGCGUGCCCCAGCUCCGUGUGCUGUCCCAGCCCUGCUGCUUGAGUGUGCAGCUGGGCCCAUUCAGUCGAGCCACAGGCUGAUGGCACGAAUUCUGAUGCGUGCAGUCCCCACACCGUGAUUGGGAUGCUGCUGCUGCUGCUCCUGGGGCUCUGCCUGCACCUGCAGCUCCUGAAGGCGGCCCAGCCCAAACCAGUUAAUUAUCACUGCUGUCUGUGGGCAAUUACCCACCUCACCUCCUGCACUGCUCUCCUGCCCAGCCCAUGGCAGCACCAAGCUGCAGCACACACUCCUCAGCUGUGAGCUCAGCGAAUAAAUCAAUCCAUCAGUCAGUGGGGAGUUUCUUCCUCCUGCCCACGAUCCAAAGCUGCAGCCCACAUGCUCAGCUUAGAGCUGCGUCCACCUGCAGAGCCCUUAUCCAUCCAUCAGACCGCAGCACCAACCCCUGCACCCGGCCGCAGUUUGGCACGUCGAGAUUGUGUUUGUAGAUGGGAACCUCAGGCUGCUUUCCUCAAAAGGGAGAAGGACCCCGCAGCUGUCUGGCCUUGCCCCUUCGGUGUGAAUGGAGCUGCAGCUUCACAGCCUGCUCUGAUGGAAAAGGGACUUGCUCUCCCUUCAAGGGUCCCUGAAGCACAGGGAAGGCACA
rnacentral:lncRNA from 1 species